GACGAACGCUGGCGGCGUGCUUAACACAUGCAAGUCGAACGGAAAGGCCCUGCUUUUGUGGGGUGCUCGAGUGGCGAACGGGUGAGUAACACGUGAGUAACCUGCCCUUGACUUUGGGAUAACUUCAGGAAACUGGGGCUAAUACCGGAUAGGAGCUCCUGCUGCAUGGUGGGGGUUGGAAAGUUUCGGCGGUUGGGGAUGGACUCGCGGCUUAUCAGCUUGUUGGUGGGGUAGUGGCUUACCAAGGCUUUGACGGGUAGCCGGCCUGAGAGGGUGACCGGGCAGAGGGGAAAUUGGACACGGGUCCCACCCCGACGGGAGGCAGCAGUUAGGAAUGUGCAACGAUGGGCGAAAGGCUGAUGGAGCGAAGCCGCGUGAGGGAUGAAGGUCUUCGGAUCGUGAACCGCGGAAGCAGGGACGAAAGACGCGAAAGCGGGAUGACGGUACCGGAGUAAUAGCACCGGCUAACUCCGUG
rnacentral:rRNA from 1 species